rnacentral:rRNA from 1 species
UACGUAGGGGGCAAGCGUUAUCCGGAUUUACUGGGUGUAAAUGGAGCGUAGACGGCACGGUAAGCCAGAUGUGAAAGCCCGGGGCUCAACCCCGGGACUGCAUUUGGAACUGCUGAGCUAGAGUGUCGGAGAGGCAAGUGGAAUUCCUAGUGUAGCGGUGAAAUGCGUAGAUAUUAGGAGGAACACCAGUGGCGAAGGCGGCUUGCUGGACGAUGACUGACGUUGAGGCUCGAAAGCGUGGGGAGCAAACAGG